rnacentral:rRNA from 1 species
UACGGAGGGGACUAGCGUUGUUCGGAAUUACUGGGCGUAAAGCGCACGUAGGCGGAGUUGUAAGUCAGGGGUGAAAUCCCGGGGCUCAACCUCGGAACUGCCUUUGAUACUGCAAAUCUCGAGUCCGGAAGAGGUGAGUGGAAUUCCUAGUGUAGAGGUGAAAUUCGUAGAUAUUAGGAAGAACACCAGUGGCGAAGGCGGCUCACUGGUCCGGUACUGACGCUGAGACGCGAAAGCGUGGGGAGCAAACAGG